CCUACGGGUGGCAGCAGUGGGGAAUAUUGCACAAUGGGGGAAACCCUGAUGCAGCGACGCCGCGUGAGUGAAGAAGUAUUUCGGUAUGUAAAGCUCUAUCAGCAGGGAAGAAAUGACGGUACCUGACUAAGAAGCCCAGGCUAACUACGUGCCAGCAGCCGCGGUAAUACGUAGGGGGCAAGCGUUAUCCGGAUUUACUGGGUGUAAAGGGGGCGUAGACGGCGGCGCAAGUCUGAAGUGAAAGCCAUUGGCUUAACCAUGGAACUGCUUUGGAAACUGUGCAGCUGGAGUGCAGGAGAGGUAAGCGGAAUGCCUGGUGUAGCGGUGAAAUGCAUAGAUAUUAGGAGGAACACCAGUGGCGAAGGCGGCUUACUGGACUGUAACUGACGUUGAGGCUCGAAAGCGUGGGGAGCAAACAGGAUUAGAUACCCUUGUAGUC
rnacentral:rRNA from 1 species